GGGAAGGGCAGGGUGGUGGGCAGGGGGAGGUGAGAAAGGGGGCAUCAGGGCCCUGCUUCUCUCAUUUGGGAGCUGGCAAUUGCCAGGGCUCCUGUCCUGGGCAGGGAGAUGCAGAGCGAGCCUCCCCACUCGGCAGCACAAGAAGCAGGGCCGAGCACUCACUGGCGGCAGAGGCUGAUGGGGGCUGCAAGCAAAUAAGGGCUGGUGAGGUAAUGCGUGGGAGACGUGAACUUCAGCAGAGCAGUGCCAUGAAGCCCCCAGUAGCACUUAUCCAGUAGUGCAGUUCUCUGAGGACUCCGAUAACACCACCAAAAUUCCCAGCCCAGAGCACUCCAUCACCUAUGGGACCCCAGCCCAUGCAGUGCGUGGGGACACCACCACGUGCCUGAAUUUAUACCUGUCCACGAGACGCUUUCUAUGAACGUUUUCCAGCAUGGUCUAAUUACAAGCAAACUACCGGCAUAAGCAAAGAAAUCCUCGGCACUCUGAAGAGUAUUAAGGCGAUGCUUCAGCCCACACGGGGCACCUUCACCUGCCUCAUUUCAGCAUGGGAUAAAACAACGUGCACGGUUCAGACCUCAAACACGUUUCUGAAGGGGCAGCAAGGCCACCAGGGUGAUGGUCUGGCUGUUUCCAGCACGGCUCCCCAGGACACCCGGUCCCAGCAGGGAUCUGGUUGCGCAAGGACAUUAUUAUGCCAAGCACUGAAUAAACACAGAACAAAAAGUUGGCUCCUCCGCCUGUAAAUAAUAAAUGAUCCUCUUUGAUCACCCGUGUUGGCUGAGGGCUCCCCAGCCUCACAAAGCUGGGACUUGGAAGGAGCGGCGCUCAGGGGAAGGUUGCCCUUUCCCUACAGGCACCCAAAACACCAGAGCUGAGCAGGGGCUGCAGGUCAGGACUGGCCAGGACACCGACUCCUUGGAGCCUCCAAGGCAUGGGGUUUUGCUGUAAGGCCGGUCCUUUGCUUUUGUCUUUUCCUUCUCUGCCAAGCCCAGUGCAAAGUCGCUGCCUGCUUGCUCAGCCCUGCCCCUCUCCACCUCGCCGCAGCUACUGCUUGUGAGAUAAAUCCCUCUAAUGUGGCUGUUGUUUGUUUUUGAAAUUCUUCUGUAUUUCUUCCUGCCAUCCCGCUGCAGAGCAGCGUACGCAACAAAGUAAACCAACCUUGCACAAAUUGUCCUGAUUCCUGCCUUGCGAGUGGAGACAGCUGUGACUGAUUCCAGCAAAAUACCUCGCGUCUGGUCUACAAAGCCCGAGCUAAUCUCCACGCCGAACCAAAGCGGGUCCUUCCUCAUCACAUGCUCGUGCUGCCAGAGCAGGGAACGUGGAUAAUACUUUGGAGCCACUACAAACGCUUCGGAAAAGACUCUGCCAUGGUAGCAAACAGCUGGUGCAGCUAAUCCAUUUUCCAAGCACAUUUGCAAGAUGCAUAAUUAAGAGUUCUGUUGAGGGGGGAAGCAAAGCAGACCAUUAGAUUUGUUUAUAACAUUAUGGAUAGUGUAAUACCCACUCAGGACCUCCUUUUCAGCAAAAGACAUUAAGGUGAUCCUUAGGAAACGUCUCUGGGAUUUCCUGAUGAUGCCUGCGUGACAUUAAUUUUGAGUAAAUAUUUGCAAUUCCAUUUGCCGUACAAUUAAGCACAACGAAGGGAUCCUGCAGAUUUUUUGGACUUGUUAAUUGCUAGAUCAGUUCAGAUGAUGAUCCCUUUUAGUUCUCUCCUCCAAUUUCCAUUGUCUCCAUUUAAAAUUUCUGUUGUGUUACAAUGAGGGAAAGCCAAGGUGUGCACGUUCAGCCCCGCAAAGCCCCGCGGAGCUCAGCGGCACUUUUCCAGCGAACACCGCCUGAAGAUCUGCCCUAAAGCUGUCCGGUGCUGCAAUGACAGCAGUACGGCUCGGGGCUCAAAGCCAAAGGCUGCUGUCGGCCACGCUGGUGUGUGUUCAGGAUGGAUCAUUGGGCUGAGGGAGGCUCAGGGUGUCCCCAGUGUCCCCAGCUAAGGCACCAGCCACGAGCUGUGCAGCCCAGCCCGCCUGGUGGCACCCCAAGAAACCAGUAGCAAAGACCCAAACUGGGAUGGCUUGAGGAAGGAGAGGACGAGCAAAUUCCUUCAGCCCCAGGCAGCUGCCUCAAUUUCGGGUUGGCAGGGGCAGUGAUGAGCACACUGACGAGCUGUGCACGUGUUGCACACCCAUUAACUCCUUGCUAAUGAGCAAUGUGGGCUUGGUGCAGCAGCGGCGUGGCUCUGCUGCACGUGGCAGAGCCUUUGCAGAGCUGCUCUCUCCACAAACUCUUGCUUCCAAAGCAAACAAAUAACUAGUGACCUGGCUGAACGCAGCCCUGCCUUGGCCUGUGCCCAAACCAGCGUUUUUGUUUAAACAUAACUGUGUUUAGGGCAUCUGCUUCAACACAGCACCGCUGGCUGGGGCUGGAAAGGAAGCUGCGCAAGGGUAGAGCAAGCCUGCUAUAAAAUGCUCAUUUCUGCUUUAAAAAAAAAAACACACCUCACCGUGGUCUUUAAUUUGUCUUUAAGACCCAUCUAGGAUGAAAACAAGGAGGUCUGCUGGGACUCCUCCCACGGCAGGUGGGAAGAAUAAUUUGCCUGGGGGGAAAUUGGAGGUGCCCAGGGAUCUGCCCAGAGGUUUGCAGUAGACCAUGCGGUAAGGCAGUGGAGAUGCACCCAAGGCUCCAUCCUGGGGCUUUUGCUGGCUGGAGGAGGGUAAGAAAACCCUGUUGGAGACCUGGAGCCUGGUCUCGAGGUGUGGGGAUGUGCUCUGCCUGGCUCCUGGGCACUGUGAGCCCUUGCUCUGUGCCGGCUUUGUCUCUCACUAUGCUUUUGUGUGGAUUCCAUAAUUUAGUGGCUCGGUGGAUCUGGAAAGGGACUGCAUGCUGUGUUUCCAUCCUGUCGGGUGUACAGAGCCUGCCCUGCACACAUUUAGGAAGCUAAGGACUUUCCUAAUUGCAGUGUGAACAAACUGAGGUGGGCUCCUGUCUGUCGAGCUGUCAGGGAGGACAAGUCGGCGGUGCCUGAGGCUAAGUGCAGCCUGGAUGGUGCUGCCGGAGCUCAUCAGGCUGACUUGCCUGCCAGGCACCAUCUUUCACAGCACCGGGCGGUGGCACCUGGGCACCCGGCACCUUUGCACCCAUGGCACCUAAUUCAGGGCAAGUCCUCGCUGUGCACUCACUCCUGGAGCAUUGAGGUGUGCGAUGUGGUCGUCACCCAGCUCCAGCCUCACCCUGGAAGCUGUUUGCAUUGUUAUCAUCAUCAUUAUUAUUUUGCUCUUAUUUAUUGUUAUCGUCAGCGAUGUGAGUCCUUCACUGGUGGAAAGGAGGGGAUUUUUUUUUUCCUUGUGGAGGGAUCCGGGAAUCCUCCACCUACCUGUGUAGUAUUUAUUAUGCCUGGUUAAAAUCAUUAAAGCCUUUGUUAGUGGAGCUGACUGACAAGGGGAGUAGAUUAAUAUUAGAACACCCUGUCAAAAGUGGUGAAAAGGCUGGAUUGAUUUUAUAGGAAGUUUAGUCGGAGUUGUGUGUAAAGCCCUUGGGGGGUUACACUGCAGUGAAUCAAUCUCCUAUAUUAGCAAGUCCCUCUGGGAAUAGUCAACCUCACUGUUUAUUACAGCCAAGGCUGCAUAUAAUAGGGCCGGUAGUCGCUCGCCUCCCUCUCCCUCUCUCCUUUCUCGUAAUUUGCUACUUGCGAUUGCAGCCACACAGAGGAGCACCUGAGAUAAACAAAGGUGCCCAGGGGCUCUGGUGGCAGCAGAGCGGGCGAGGAGGGGACGAGCAGAGACCCCUGCAGCCGGCCGGGUCCCCUCCUGCUGGCUCAGCACCACUGCCUGCUGGGGGCAGCUCCAGCGCUCCCCCCGGGGCUGCUUUCAGCCUGGGGAGCCCUCAUGUCUUAUUUGCCGUGGCAGCUUUCAUCCUGGUGCCCAGGUAACAAAAAGAAUACACACAGGACGCUCUCACGGAAAGCUUUUGCAAACAGCAAUUAACAGAAUCCCCCAACGCGUGUGUUGGGGGAGUUUUUGGCAACCCUGGAGCAAAGAAAAAAGCCUGCAGUCGAGAGCCGGAUACCCGUGUGCUUGGCUGGGCCUAAUUGCAUCCAAUUACUGCUGUAUGGAAAUGAGCAGAGGGGCAGCAAGGACGUUGUGGGCCCCACGCUGUAAGGCUGUGAGUUGGGGCUGGGGGUGCAGACCCCCAAACCCCCCCAGCAGCUGCAGCCCCAGCUCCUGAGCUGCUGUCCCAGCCCCUGGUGGCACAGCAGUGUGGCCACAUCCAGAUGUCAGCCUGUUUUUUUCAGAGGAACGUACGCCGGGUGGCACGAGCUAAACCAUCAGGAACUAACUGGAGCCUUUUCGGACUCUGGAGACGUACCACAUUUAGCCGAAAGAGGUUAAAAGGCAAUUGUGCUGUGUAAAGAGACCAUGAAAUAAAAGCUCCUGCUUUACUGGCUCUGGAGCUGGCUGGGCUGCGAGCACAAAAUGAGUUCUCUUUUCUCACUGCCAGUGCUGUAAGCUUUCCUGGGGAUGCUGGACAUUGCUGUGGGUUAUCAUCAGGACAAGGCCCUGCCACUGGAACGUGGUGCCCUGAUGGGGGCAGCCACCCCCCUGCACCCCAGCGCUGCUGCCCUGCUCUCCUGGGCAGCUCCGAGUGAUUGAGAUGUUGGUGACACCGAGUGACCUAGCCUUCAGUUCUGCUGCUCCCUUUUGGAUAUUUUUCUUCCAAAUUCUCCCUCAAUGGUCCAGGAGGACCUGCUGCAUGCUGCAGAGUUUGGUUUCCGUGCUCCAUUACCUCCUGGGCUCUCUUCUGAGCCCACUGAAGCUGCAGAUGGAGGCGGUGCAUUGCGCGUGGGGGAGCCAGAGGUGUGCACCCGCUGCGGGGCUGGGCUCAGCCCAGCACCUACAAAGAGAGGGAAACAAAGAAAAAAACUAACCUGCUGCCCAGACUGCUCUGAGCCCACAACCAGAGGGAGUUUUUGGCCCCCUUCCCAUCCAGUGCAGCAGGGACAGAGCCUGGGAUGUUCACCUGAGGGUUGAAAACGAGCUGCUGGUUCCUCCCAGAUGCGCAUGCACUUGCGUCUGUGCGCCCCUUUGUGCAGUGCCUAAUAAGCCGUAUAAUUCUCAUUCUUCCUCUCCCUCUGUCACUUACUUCACUUUUUAUCUGCACAACUGAAAUUCCUUCCUGCUCCCCCCAUCCUCUUCUUUCACUAAUGCUCUUCACUUUCAAAUGCUAAUAAUCUGCAGCACUAAAAGGCUUAGAAGUGGUUCUAGAUUGUUUGAUCUUUGGCCUGUGAUCUACUUUCAUCUUUCAGCUUUCAAACGUUACUUUGGAUUUACUUUAACCUGUUAACAUGCUUGGUAUUCACAGGCAUGCACUUCUGGUGAGUUUUGCAUCAGAUCCACCCGGGUUCUAAUGAGGGGGGGGAAGGUUACGCUUUGCUCACCAACUUUUCCGAGUGGACAUUGGCUCCUCUGUUGUAGCACACACAGCGGGGACUUUUUUUCCCCUUCUCAGGCUUCGGUGUUCCCAGGGGUGCUGACCUGAGGACGGGGAUGUAAGGUUACCUGCGGCGAGGGUGAAGCUGGGGACGGUGACAGGCUCAGACCCUGCGGGCACCAGCCUGGACCCCGAGGCAGGGAUGUGGCGGGGGGGAAUCGCGCUCCUCCUUCCCCUUUAUAAUCACACCUCUAGAGAGAACGGCUUUGAAAGCUCUGCUUUGUUCAAAAGCUCCUCGGGACUGUCUCGUCCUCAGUUAGUGUUGGAUGUCUGAGCAGCGGCAGAGACAUCAGAGCCUUCCCGAAGCUGUUAUAACUUAAUCUGGCAGGCCAGCCAGCUCUGCCACCUCUUGCCAAGAGAGGAAGCCAGAGCACUAGAUGAUUUUCAGACAUUAGUGACUGCAAUAAAUCAGAGAGCAGAAGUUAUUGAGUGCCUCGCUAAUGGACAUUUCCUUCUAGAGCAUCCCCUCUUGGGCUUCGUGGGGGCACUGAGACUGCUUUCACAGGGGGAAGCCAAAGGGAGCCGUGCCAAGGCGCGCUCUCCGCUGGAAAAUGUGCUGAGGAAGGAGGCUGCAAGGUGAGAGGGAGGCACUGUCUCCAGCUGGUUCGCAGCAGAAGCUGCACGGCGCCGGUGCAGGGGCUCCUGCUGUUCUCCUGCAGGGGGACAGACCUCCCCCAGGCCGGUGCAGAAAGCCGUAUUUUGGGAGCGGUGCAAAACGUGAGCCACCGAGGGGAGGUCGUUGUUUCAGGUCAACCUGAAUAUGACUUUAAAUGCAGAAGGGAGACGUGAGGCAGUCUGAAAGUUGGGUGGGAUUUAAAUAGUGUUGAAGAAAACGGUGCAUUUGAGCUGAGAUGGUGCGUUCAGCCUCAGAGCCAAGCUACCUGGUGCCCCUGGAGCGCUCAGCACCGAGGGAUGGGGGUGCCUGAGCUGCUCACCCCUCGCCUCCGCUGUGGAAGCCCAAGCUGAAGCAAUUCGCUCCUCAAGGAGAAGCAAACUGUUUAAUAUUUAAACCCAAACAGCCCAGGCAAAGCUGCUUUUCUUUUUUAUUUAUUCUUUUAAUUAAAUGCCAAUUAGAAAGGAAGAGAGAGGAAAAAAAAGGCAUUAAACACUUAAAUACACACUACACCCAGGUUGCUCAAAGUUGU